GAUGAACGCUGGCGGCGUGCCUAAUACAUGCAAGUCGAGCGAACAGACGAGGAGCUUGCUCCUCUGACGUUAGCGGCGGACGGGUGAGUAACACGUGGAUAACCUACCUAUAAGACUGGGAUAACUUCGGGAAACCGGAGCUAAUACCGGAUAAUAUAUUGAACCGCAUGGUUCAAUAGUGAAAGACGGUUUUGCUGUCACUUAUAGAUGGAUCCGCGCCGCAUUAGCUAGUUGGUAAGGUAACGGCUUACCAAGGCAACGAUGCGUAGCCAACCUGAGAGGGUGAUCGGCCACACUGGAACUGAGACACGGUCCAGACUCCUACGGGAGGCAGCAGUAGGGAAUCUUCCGCAAUGGGCGAAAGCCUGACGGAGCAACGCCGCGUGAGUGAUGAAGGUCUUCGGAUCGUAAAACUCUGUUAUUAGGGAAGAACAAAUGUGUAAGUAACUAUGCACGUCUUGACGGCACCUAAUCAGAAAGCCACGGCUAACUACGUG
rnacentral:rRNA from 1 species